GGCAUCCUGGCCGACUUCAGCGGCAACCCGGUGUUCCUGGAGACCACCGACGGGCAGUUGCUGUACGCGGCCGGUUCGGGCCCGGAGAACGCCG
rnacentral:tRNA from 1 species